rnacentral:rRNA from 1 species
ACAUGCAAGUCGAACGAUGAAGGUACUAGCUUGCUAGAGUGCUCAUUAGUGGCGCACGGGUGUGUAACGCAAAGGUCAUGUGGCUCUUAGAUUGGGAUAGCCAUUGGAAACCAUGAUUAAUACCUGAUACUCCCUACGGGGGAAAGAUUUAUCGCUAAGAGAUCAGCCUAUGUCCUAUCAGCUUGUUGGUAAGGUAAUGGCUUACCAAGGCUAUGACGGGUAUCCGGCCUGAGAGGGUGAACGGACACACUGGAACUGAGACACGGUCCAGACUGCUACGGGAGGCAGCACUAGGGAUUAUUGCUCAAUGGGGGAAACCCUGAAGCAGCAACGCCGCGUGGAGGAUGAAGGUUUUAGGAUUGUAAACUCCUUUUGUUAGAGAAGAUAAUGACGGUAUCUAACGAAUAAGCACCGGCUAACUCGGUGCCAGCAGCCGCGGUAAUACGCAGGGUGCAAGCGUUACUCGGUAUCACUGGGCGUAUAGAGCGCGUAGCCGGGUUAGUCAGUCAGGUGUGAAAUCCUAUGGCUUAACCAUAGAACUGCAUUUGAAACUACUAUUCUAGAGUGUGGGAGAGGUAGGUGGAAUUCUUGGUGUAGGGGUAAAAUCCGUAGAGAUCAAGAGGAAUACUCAUUGCGUAGGCGUCCUGCUGGAAGAUUACUGACGCUGAUUGCGCGAAAGCGUGGGGAGCAAACAGGAUUAGAUACCCUGGUAGUCCACGCCCUAAACGAUGGAUGCUAGUUGUUGGAGGGCUUAGUCUCUCCAGUAAUGCAGCUAACGCAUUAAGCAUCCCGCCUGGGGAGUACGGUCGCAAGAUUAAAACUCAAAGGAAUAGACGGGGACCCGCACAAGCGGUGGAGCAUGUGGUUUAAUUCGAAGAUACACGAAGAACCUUACCUAGGCUUGACAUUGAGAGAAUCCGCUAGAAAUAGUGGAGUGUCUAGCUUGCUAGACCUUGAAAACAGGUGCUGC